AGGCGAAACCCCCUCGGGGGUCGGCGGGAGGUGGUCCCUCCCCCUGACGAUGCCAGCCAGCA
rnacentral:hammerhead_ribozyme from 1 species